AACGAACGCUGGCGGCAUGCCUGACACAUGCAAGUCGAACGAGACCUUCGGGUCUAGUGGCGCACGGGUGCGUAACGCGUGGGAACCUGCCCUUAGGUUCGGAAUAACUCCCUGAAAGGGGUGCUAAUACCGGAUAAUGUCUUCGGACCAAAGAUUUAUCGCCUUUGGAUGGGCCCGCGUUGGAUUAGCUAGUUGGUAGGGUAAAAGCCUACCAAGGCGACGAUCCAUAGCUGGUCUGAGAGGAUGAUCAGCCACACUGGGACUGAGACACGGCCCAGACUCCUACGGGAGGCAGCAGUGGGGAAUAUUGGACAAUGGGCGAAAGCCUGAUCCAGCCAUGCCGCGUGAGUGAUGAAGGCCUUAGGGUUGUAAAGCUCUUUUACCCGGGAUGAUAAUGACGGUACCGGGAGAAUAAGCUCCGGCUAACUCCGUG
rnacentral:rRNA from 1 species